GGAAGUGGGCAGAGGAAAGGAAUGGAAGAGAAAACGGAAAGUGGGUAUAUUAAUGAGAAGGGACUUCUCGCCUAGAAGAAUGUCAUUCUUUUUCUUCCUUCCCCAAGCUAAAGAAACGUUAAAAUAGCUAGCUUCAGUUUUCGCACUGAUCAAUAAAAAAUAAUCAGUAUUUAUUAAGUUAAUAAAAAAUAGUCAGUAUUUAUUGAGUUAAUAAAAAAUAGUUAUUAUUUUAUUAUAAUAGAAAUCGAUCUCCUAUAAUAUAUGAAAGUUCGGUGUAUUUGUGCAUAUACUUCAGUCUUUAGCAUAUUAUGCUGGACCGAUAUAUUUUUUGCUGACUCCUGUAUAAUAUACGGGAGACUCGAACAUCGGUGCUCAAAACUCCAAUAUAUUAUUCUGGACAUUUGUACUUGUUGGAACAGCAUAAUUAUACUUGAACUCCCGCAUAUUAUACGGGAGUUCUAUCAUAGUUAUUCUGGAACUCCCGUAUAAUAUGCGGGAGAUUAAGCAUAUUUAUGCUGGAACUCCCGUAUAAUAUGCGAGCAUAGUUUCCGGAUUUUGAACAAUAUUUUUGCUCAGAUUUAUUUUUACAUAAAAAAUAGCUGAAUUUCGAUUACUUUUGAAAUUGGGCUAUUUUUAAAUGACCAGUUAUAAAUCUGGCUAUUUUUAAAUUUCUCCCUAAAAGAAACAUACUUAAUGGUCACAACUAAUUAUUUUCUUAGCCAAUUUUACACUAUCAUAAUAAAAACAAACAAAGGAAAAUAUUGUAUUAAGUGCAAUAGCAUAUUACAUGCACUCAUUUUUAAGCCCAUACCAAGUUGUCACAAAUAGGUUCAUAAUGACUUUUUCACAUCUCCAAUGUUGUGAUUAGCUAGCCAUGGAUGAUAUCAAAAUUUGCAAUAAAAUUUUAUCAAAUGUUCAGAAUCUUGUUUAGAGGAAGAGUGAAUUGGAGUUCUUUUUUCAUAUUAUUUAUUGUAAAUUGCAGUAAAGGACUGUUUGGUAUAGUUAUGAUAACUUUUUCAUGAAAUGAAUUAUUACUACUAUGAUUCUGAUCAUUUCUCAAUUAGUCUGAAAUAGAGUCAUAGUUGUUGUUGAUGUACUAUGAUGAAGUGACACUGAUUUUCUGCCAAUCCUUAAUGCAAAGGUAGUUUUGAUGUGCUACCUUAAUACUAUUACUUAAGAUAUGAUACACCACUAGUAAUGCACAUAAAUUUAUUAUUUUUUGCUCGAGCCUUACAUAUAUAUUAGGUAAUCAACUAUGAUUGUGAACUUACUUAUUAGUAUUAUAUAUUAACUUAAUAUUGCUAUGAGUUUUUGUGAACUUCAAAUGCUGAAUUUGUCAAGUGAGUUGCAUGAGUAUGACAUGUAGAUGUGACCUACUAUAGUACUAGUGAGUAGAGAUGUUGAUGAAUAUGAAAAUCAUUUUUUCUUUAUUCAAGGUAACUAUUAUUACCAUUACCUUUUGUUUUUGGAGGCAUUAUUGAAGGCGGUAGGGUAGUGGUAAUGUGCAACAAGAUAGAGAAUGUGAAGAAGGAAACAGAGCAGCCUUAAGUGGUAACAAGGAAUACACAGCCUGUUAUUGGCCCCAUUGUCUUGCCCAACAUAUGCCAACUUCUACUCAAUUCAGUAAAUUAAUGGCUUCUAAAAAAAAUUAUAAAUAAAUAAGGGCAUUAAGGUUUAUAUUUUAGGGGAUAACAUGUGCUAAUAUAUGUAUCGGGCGGGUCGGUUUGAGAUAAUAUGCUGAAUCAGGUAUUAAGAGCAAAAAACAAAGUCCAUUAUCACAUAUUCAUAAAGGGAUGAGGGAAAUGCUCCACCCAAAAGGUAUAAUGUAGAUAAUUUGAAUUAUUUCUACGGCUUGAAUUCGUGAUCAAUAACCACAAAAAUAUAACUUUUAUCAUUGCUUCAAGCCCGACUCUCCUUCUAGAUGCUAAUUUAAGAUUUGAAUUUUAUUAGUUUGGAUUUGGUAUGUGCCACGUUCCGUCUAAUUUAUUGAGUUUAAAAUUUACUAUUUGUACUUAUUUAGUACUCUCUUCUUCUUAUUCAUGUGGCACCAUUGAGAUGAACCGAGUUUUUCUUUAAACGUUAUUUUUUUUAUAUGUUUUUAAAUAGUUUAAAUUGUUAGUUACUAUUACUUACAAUACUUUUUAUAUAAUUUUCAAAUGUUUAAAUUUAAUUUCAAAAACUUAAAGCUUUUAUGUCCAACUUUAUCGUCAAAAUUAAGAAGUUUGACUCUUGAAAUUCGAACAAUGCCCCAUAAAUUGGGAUGUGAAGAGUAAGAUUUUUAAACACAUAAAAGAUCGUGUUAAUGUUAUCAGGAUCGGAUGAACCCGUAUUUCCUUCACUAGAUUUUCACCUUUAUCCAAUAAAAAGCAGUUUCAAAAAUAUGGUCAGCAAUGUCUUGACAUAAAAUAUAGUUGAGCUUUAUAAACAAAACGUUGGACAAAGAUUUUGGGGAGGGAGGGAGUAGCAUCUGUAACGACCCGACCGGUCAUUUUGAGCUUUAGCGCGUCGUUCAGCAGUCUGAGGCUAUGAGAAGUUUCAUUUCAGGUAUUAUGACUUGUACGCAUGGUUGGAAUUGAAUUUCGGGAAGUUCAGGGUUGAUUUGGAAAGAGAAUUCUCAUAACGAAAGCUUAAAGUUGAAAGAAUUAACUAGGAUUGAAUUUUUGAGUAAACGACCUUGGAAACGGGAUCUGAAGGUUCCAACAGGUUCGUAUGAUGAUUUCAGACUUGGGCGUAUGCCUGGAUCAUAUUUUGGAUGACCCGGGAGCGUUGUGGCGCCUAUUAUGGAAGUUAGCAUUUUGAAAGAAAUUUCAUAAGUUUGGCUUGAAGUGCAUUUCAGUGUUAUUGAUGUACGUUUGAGAUUUCGAGUCUGGAGUAGCUCCAUAUGGUGAUUCUAGAGUUGGGGGUGCGAUCAGAAGUAAAUUCGGAGGUCCGUAGGUCAUUUUUGAGUUAUUUGGCUAAAGAUAGAAAAAUUGAAGGUUUUUGAGAAGUUUGGCCGGAAGUGGACUUUUUGAUAUCUGGGUCGGAAUCCAAUUCCGGAAGUUAGAGUAGGUCCGUAUUGUUGAAUAUGACUUGUGUGCAAAAUUUGAAGUCAAUUGGACGUGAUUUGAUAGGUUUAAACAUCGAAAACUUGAAGUUUGAAAUCUAAAGUUCAUAAGGCUUGGAUUGGAGGUCGAUUCAUGAUUUUAGCGUUGUUCAAUGUGAUUUGAGGCCUCAAGGAAGUCCGUAAUAUGUUUUGGGACUUGUUGGGGUCCCGAGGGCCUCGGGUGGAUUCCGGGUGGUUAACAGAGUGACAAUAGAAUUUUGGAAAGGCUAAAGUUGAUAGUAUCUGGUAUAACCGCACCUACGAGAAUAGGGCCGCAGGUGCGGAGACGCAGAAGCGGCCCAAUAGUCAUAUAUGCGGAUUUGGAAAAGAGAGCUGGGUCGCAGAUGCGAUCAUUUGGCUGUAGAAUCGGAACCGCAUCUGCGGGACUAGAAGCGCAGAAGCGGAAAAAGGAAGAUUUGUGAAAAAAUUUCAGAAGCGGUGGAUUGGCUCGCACCUGCAGAACCACUAAAGCGGUAAAGGGACUGCAGGUGUAGAAAGUGCUGGAGGCAGAGAGGUGUUUUAAAAAUCGGGAUUUGGCCAUUUCCCCUUUUCCUUUGGCAUGGGCGAUUUUGAAGAGUUUCAAGUGGGGUUUUUCAUCAUCAACGACAAGGUAAGCUAACUCCACCUAUUUUGAGUUAAAUACACCGAUUAUGUACAGAUUUUAGCAUGUAAAUUGGUAGAAUUUUGGAGUUUUUGUUAGAAAGACCUAAAAUUUAUAUUAUGUGAAUUUAACCACGAUUUUGGAUAUGGAAUUAAGAGAAAAUCAUAUGUUUGGGUUCGUGAGUUCAUGGGUAAAUUUUAUCUUCGAUUGUUUUGGAUUCCGGGCACAUUGACCCGAGGGCAAUUUUAUCAACUUUUCGAUCAUGGUUAGGAAUUUCUAUAAAUUGUAUUCUGGUGAGUAAUUGAGCAUAUAUUAAUUUACUUGCAUAAUUGUUGGCGUGUUUUGGAGCAUUGUGUAUCGAUUCAAGUCUUCCGAAGGGCGUGGAAUGCCGGUUAUGGACCUUUGAAGCAAGGUGAGUCUUCUUUCUAACCUUGUAAGAGGGAAUCGUCCCCAUAGGUGAAAUGAUUGGUUAUAUGCUCCUGUUUGUAGGGGCUACAUACGCAUGAGGUGACAAGAGUCCGUAUGUAGCUACUAUUAUGCUAUUGUCCGGGUCGUCUAGGACCCAAAACAUGCUGUACUUGGAAGUAUUUGUAAUCCUAUUGACAGUUUGAAUUGGUUAAAUUCUAUCGAAUUGGUAAAUGAAUUUCUAAAAGGAUUAAACUUCAUUUCUUAAAUUGUUAAAAGAGAAUUGGCUUUUAUUUGGAUAAAUAUUCUCUGAUAAAUUCCUAAUUGGCUAUUUGAGCAUGUAUGUCUAUGUAUACCUGCGUUGCGUAUAUGAUUCACGAGCAGGGUAUUUGUUUAUUUUAUGUUGACCGCAUCGCAGGAUAGUUCGCGUGCGGGGUAAUAGAUGCAUCUAUGGUUCGAGCCGUUCAACCCUCGACAGUGCACAGUUUAUUUUUCUGUUGGAUCGGGCCAUACGACAUCGACAUAAUUUGCGCAUGCUUGUAUUGCUUGCCUUGAAACUUAUUGAAGUUGUUGCUGCCUCUUCCUAGCUUAAGAAUACAUGUAUGAAUGAUGAAAAGGAAAUUUGGAAAUUUCCUAUAAUGGAAAGAAUUUCUUAUUUGAUUCAACCUAUGAAUUAUAAUCAUGUUUAUAAAAAUUCACGAUUUAAUAUAUUAUGGAUAUAACAUUAUUGGACCAUUAGUAGGUAUCGGAGUUGAUCUCUCGUCUCAUACUACACUUCUGUGCAUUCUUAUUGCACAUGCAUAUGUAUCUCUAGUGGCCUACUGGGCGUAGCAGCAGGGUUGAUACAUAGACUUAGGUGAGGUGUACUUCUCAAGGCGACCCGCAGUCAGCAGAGUCUCUUUCAAUUAUUUAUAUUUAUUUUCUGUCCACUAUUGUAUUCCGGACGGUUGUUGCAUUUUAUUUCCUUCUUAGUAAAUGUUCAUGCACUUGUGACACCGGAUUCUGGGAUGAUUUUGGAUUAUUCGAUAUUUAGCUUGUUAGAUACUCCAAGGUUAUUUCUAUAAAUUUUAUUUUUUAUUAUUUAAAUGAAUAAGGAAAAAUAAUUUCAACAAAUACUAAAAUUCUAAUUUAAGUAAGUAUUUCUAGUUGACUUGCGUAACAUCGACGUCCGGCGCCACCACAAUCCCAGAAAAUUUUGGAUUGCGACAGCAUCUGACCAAAAACAAAGAUGAGCAGUAUUAUUAUUUAUUUUCGUGAGCUUGAAGCUUUAGACGCAGUCAUGUUAGAUGAAGAAUCUUUCCAAGUACUCUAAAGUAUGUUAGGAAAUAGAGAAUAUCAAAGAGGAAAAACUCAAGUGAAUGUGCAAGUGAGGAGAAAUAUGGAACUUUGUACCUCGUUGGUUGAAGACUCAUUAAUAUCGAUAAGUUUCUCUUUGUCAUAACAUAUAUAGUUAAGCUUCUUUGUAACUUAUAAUCACCGUUCACUAUUAUAUUAAGUUUUUUCCUGAAUUAAUUUUUUACGAUAUAUUUCACUUCUUUAUAAUGAUUUUUUACCUUAACACCAACAUUAUUUUUAUAACCUUAUAUAUUAUUUUGAUAAAAUUAUCCAUCUAUAACAACAAUGUCAAAUCUCUAAGAUAACUAAUAAUAAGUUUAAAGAUUUUAACAAAUAUUUUAAAACGAUAUGUACCAUGUAUUGUUGGCCCAAGUUCAGAUUGACAAAUGAACCUAGGGAAGGACACAGUUCAUCUUGAGAGACAUAGUUAGUUAUAACCAUUGCACAUGGAAGGCACGUGAGGAAGAUAUGUAUUGAAGAUUACACACCAAAUAUCUUGUGAACGGAAUCGAAAAGAUUGCAUUGAGUUUUAAGGAGGACAGUCUCCUUAAUUAUGAUAAGAGAACAUAAUCCUAAGCUAGGAUAAGGAUGUGAGUUUGUAUUGAUUAAGGACUCAAAUCGACUAAGGAUAAGCAUUGGAGUCUCGAUCAAACUCUAACUGCUAAUCUAUUAAAUACCCAAAGUAUUAUCUUCUACAGGUAAUGCUCAUACGCAGAAGUUAAGCAUAUUUGAGAGCUAAAAGAGCAAGUCUGAUUUGCAAGCAACAUAUGCGAGAUACAAGUGUGCAUAUCUGAAGCUACAUGAACUAAGAUAAAGAACCAUUUUCAUUAUUGUGUUUAUUCUAAGUCUAGUUCGAUUGUAGUAGGUUUUCAUAUUGUACCUUUCAUCUUUCUUAGAAGAAAUUGUAUUAGGUACUCUGAGCGUUCAAGUUAGAGUUAACUUGAAAGUGUCGCAACAGUUGAGGCUGUGUGCCACAUUGGGAUUAGAUUUAAUCCUUAGGUUAAAAAAGAGUUUUGUAAUUACAGUUUUUGGCUCACUAAUUUUAGUGGAGUUUGGAAAAAUCCUACUGAGUAGUAGGUCGUGGUUUUUUUACCUUUUGAACCAGGUAUUAUCCAUGUAAAAAUCCCUGUGCACUUUACUUUUAGUAUUUAUUAUUCCUCAAAUUGUUUUAGUUAGAUACUUAGAAGAACCAGGUUCUUCUAACUCGAAAAUUAGGUACCACACAAAUCACCCCCUCUCUCAUAUGGUAUUGACGUUUAUUAUAUCAAUUGGUGUCAAAGCGGAUUAUCCUUAUAAAGGUUAACACUUUAGGAAAAGAUCGACAUGAGUGCACCACCUGGGAACUGGGAAGGGCAAUCCACUGCCAGGCCUCCUCUCUUCAAUGACUCUACUACUCCUGGUGGAAAAACAGAAUGAGAGACCAUAUUAUGGGCGGAGACUAUAAGCUUUGGGAUAUCAUAACUGAUGGUCCUUUAGCCACAACCAAGAAGAAUGCUGAAGGAUUGGAUGUCCCAAAGACAAGAGCAGAUUGUACUGCUGAAGAUCUAAGGAAAUGGGAGAAAAAUACAAAAGCCAAUAAAUGUCUAGUGUGUGGACUUGGUCCUGAUGAGUACAACAGGAUUCAAGGCUGUUCUACUGCCAAGGAGAUUUGAGACACUUUACAAGUGGCUCAUGAAGGAACACCUCAGGUGAAGAGUCAAGAGGAACACUGCUGUAUUCUCAAUAUGAGAAUUUUACUAUGAAGGAUGGAGAAGCUAUCCAAGAGAUGUAUACCAAGUUCACUACACUAGCAAAUGAACUUGAGUCUUUUGGAAGGAUUAUCCUGGAAGAAGACAAGGUGGAGAAGAUUCUAACUAGAGUUCUGCCAAUCUCUUGGGAAAACAAAAUCACUGCUAUUUAGGAAUUCAAAAACAUUGCUACUUUAAAAUUGGAUUAACUGAUUGGAAAUUUUAUUGCUUAUGAAUUGAGAAGGCAAACAAUGAAGAUGAAUGCUCCAAAGAAAGAGAGAAGUCUGGCUCUUAUUAUCUUAUAAGGAUUAGAUCUUCAAGAUGAUGAAAUGGCUAUGAUAACAAAAGAUUUCAAAAGGGUCCUUCAAAAAGAACAACAUUCAACAAACCUAGGGCUCCUGAGAAACAAACCAAUGAGGGGUGUUACAAGUGUGGGAAGACUGAUCACCACAUUGGAAACUGCCCUCAGUGGGAGGUUAAAUGGAAGAAAGAAAAAGCAGAUAGAAGAAAUAGGAAGAAUGAUCAGGUUCAACCAAAAAGGAACAAAGGAUCAACUAAAGCUAUGGUUUCUGCAUGGGGAGAAACAUCAAAUGAGGACUCAGAAAAUGAAGCUGAAGAUGAGCAAGCUCUUAUGUCAUCGAAGAAUCAGAAGACGAACAAGAGGUAAGUAUUCUACAUCUUAAAGAAAAGAUUAAGUUCUUGUCUAAAAGAAAAUUGGCUGAUCUACUGAUGGACUUCAUAGAUGAGUCCGAAAUAAUAAACAGUGAGAAAGAUGUUCUGUCUAGGAAAUGUGUUAUCUUAGAAGAAAAAUGUUGAAAUAAUAAACAUUGAGAAGGAUGUUCUGUCUAGGGAAUAUGUUAUCCUAGAAGAAAACUUUAAAAGGUUAGAGUAUAGCACUGAUGAGAGUGACAACACAAAUAUUGAGUUGAAGAACCAGGUUCAUGAACUUGAAAAUAAGAUCCUAGAACUUAGAUCUGAAAAUAUUAAACUGAAAUUAGGUACAAGAAAGAAAAAGUCUAAUCAAUCAUUUCUCACUCUAGAAGAAAAUCUAGGAAAAAUAAAAGAUGAACUGUACAAGAAAUAUGAAUUGAUUAAAGUCCUAAAAGAAGAUUUAGGAAAGGUAAAUCAUGAACUAGACACAACAUGCAAAUGGAACAAGGAUUUCGAUGCACUCUGCUGGCUGCAGGAACAUCAUAUUAGCAAUAAAAGAGUACUUGGAUUUGGGACACAAGCUCCAAAAUGGGAUCCCGAAAACAAGUAUCUCACACUUCGUGAGAAUAAGAUCUGCACACACUAUGGUAAGACUGGCCAUUACAAAAAUGUAUGUAAUGCAAGAGAAAAGACCAGUCAAAAGAACAAAGCCUUUGUUCAAGAAAAGCACAAACUGCCUGGUUGGGCAAAGAAAAAUCUAAUUUAAUCUUUUGCCCAUAGAAAGGGACCCAAACUAGUUUGGGUUCCUAGGAUUAAUCCAUGAUUUCUUUUACAGGUCCAAGUAGAGGGGAAUAGCAAAAUUGUACAUGGAUAGUUGCUGCUCAAAACAUAUGAUUGGUAACAAGGACUAGUUCCUUUCACUUGAGAACCUAAAAGGAGGUAAUGUCUCCUUUGGAAAUGGAAAGAAAAGUGAGAACUUUGGAGUUGGAAAGCUAGGAAUGACAGACUCUCAUUCCAUUGAGAAUGUUUAUUUGAUAGAUGGCUUAAAAUAUAGCCUGAUAAGUGUGUCACAACUGUGUGACAGAGGUAAUCUUGUCGCUUUCACUUCCACAAAAUGUUUUGUGAUAAGCCUUACUACUGACAAGAUUGUUUGUAGGUAAGGAGAUUUAACAAUUUUUACAUUGUAGAUUUGUCAACUGUCAUUGAAAUGAACUCAUUUUCUUGAGUGUGUUAAGUAAUGAUCCCCUCCUUUGGCACAGAAGACUUGGCCAUGCCAGUCUAAAUCAAUUGAACAAAUUAGUAUCCAAGGACUUGGUGAUAGGGUUACCUAAUAUCAAGUUCAAGGAAGACAAAGUUUGUGAGGCAUGUGCAAGGGGGAAGCAAGUAAGGGCAUCCUUCAAACCUAAGAAAAUGGUAAGUACGUCCAAGAUGUUGGAGCUGGUUCAUAUGGAUCUCUAUGGUCCAAUGAGAGCCAUGAGCAGAGGUGGUAAAAGAUAUGUANNNNNNNNNNNNNNNNNNNNNNNNNNNNNNNNNNNNNNNNNNNNNNNNNNNNNNNNNNAUGUAAUGGUGCUUGUUGAUGAUUAUUCUAGAUUUACCUGGGUGCUGUUUCUAACUUCUAAAGAUGAAGCAUUUGAAAUAUUCACUACUUUUGCUAGAAAAAUCCAGAGAAAAUUAGGAAAUCAACUUGCAUCCAUUAGGUCUGAUCAUGGAACUGAAUUUGAAAAUGCAAAGUUUGCUAAAUUUUGUGAUGAAAAUGGAAUAAAUUAUAAUUUCUCUGCCCCUAGGACUUCUCAGCAAAAUGGGGUAGUUGAGAGAAAGAACAGGACCCUUGAGGAUAUGGCAAGGACCAUGCUACUUCCUAGUAAACUACCUCAUAGCUUCUGGUAAGAGGCUAUUAACACUGCUUUUAUAUAAUAAAUAGAUGCAUGACCAGACCUCUUGUAGAGAAAACUCCCUAUGAGUUACUUAANNNNNNNNNNNNNNNNNNNNNNNNNNNNNNNNNNNNNNNNNNNNNNNNNNNNNNNNNNNNNNNNNNNNNNNNNNNNNNNNNNNNNNNNNNNNNNNNNNNNNNNNNNNNNNNNNGGCUUUUGGUUGCAAGUUCUAUGUGCACAAUAAUGGCAAAGAUUCCCUUGGUAAGUUUGAUCCUAGAAGUGACGAGGGAGUAUUCUUGGGAUAUUUUUCACAUAGCAAAGCAUAUAAAAUGUUUAAUAAAAGAACUCUAUAUAUUGAAGAAAGUGUACAUGUUGUGUUUGAUGAAUCUAACACUCUUUCUGAGAGACAUGAACAUGAAGAUGAAGCCAUUGGACUAGUGAGACAAUUGACUGAAGCCACAAUACAAUUCAAGGUGGCAUCAAAGGAAUGAGAAGGUGAUGGAACAUGUCCUUUCAUACAAGGCAACCUGAUAGGCGGAACCAAUCUGAGAGAAACUGCACAAAUACUCUGAAGGAUCCUGUACCUGAACCUGUUCCUCUGCAAGAUAACAAUGAAGAAGAAACUAGCAGGAACCAGCUGGUGGGGAAAUCUUACAAGUACCUGAGUUCUCACCCCAUUGAGAACAUCAUGAAUGAUCCAACAUCUAGAGUCAAGACUAGAUCACAAUUGAAGUACCUGUGUGUAUUUGUUGCCUUUCUGUCCCUCAGUGACCUAAAAAUAUAAUCUAACAUUUGGGGUCAAGACUAGAUCACAACUGAAGAACCUAUGUGCAUUUGAUUCCUUUCUGUCCCUCAUUGACCUUAAAAAUGUGAAUAAAGCUCUACAAGAUGCAUAUUGGGUCAAUGCUAUGCAAGAUGAGCUCAAUCAGUUUGAAAGAAGCUAAGUCUGGAACUUGUUCCAAUACCUAAGGACAUGUCAUUCAUUGGGACAAAAUGGGUCUUCAGGAACAAACUAGAUGAAGAUGGAACUGUUACAAGAAACAAGGCAAGGUUGGUGGUUCAAGGCUAUAGUCGAAAGGAAGGCAUUGAUUAAGAUGAGACUAUUGCUCCAGUUGCUAGACUUGAAGCAAUUAGACUUCUUAUAGCCGUUACAAAACAUAUGGAAUUCACUCUUCAUCAAAUGGAUGUCAAAAAUGCCUUCCUAAAUAGCUAUCUCAAGGAAGAAGUGUUUUUGAAACAACCUCUAGGAUUCAAAAGCAAAGAAUGUCCUGAUCAUAUGUACAAGUUAGAUAAAACUCUCUACGGUCUCAAAAAGACCCCAAGAGCUUGGUAUGAAAGAUUGUCAAAGUUCCUUCUGGAGCAUGGGUACAAAAGAGGUAAAAUUGACAGCACUUUGUUCCUAAGGGAAAAAGGUAAAGAUCUUCUUGUUGUAUAAAUAUAUGUUAAUGACAUAAUAUUUGGGGCCACUACAGAUAGAUUUAGUAAGGACUUUGUUAAGCUAAUGGGAAGUGAGUUUGAAAUGAGCAUGAUGGGUGAACUCAAUUUCUUCUUGGGGCUACAGAUUAAAUAAAGUCCAGAUGGAACUAUGAUCCAUAAGCAGAAGUAUACAAAGGAACUAAUCAACAAGAUUAAAAUGAAAGAAUCCAAGGAAAUAGAUACACCUAUAGCAACUGCCACAAAGCUAGAUGUUGAUGAACAUGGUUAAUGAUUUGAUCAAAAGUUGUAUAGGGGUAUGAUUGGUUCACUUUUAUAUCUUACUACCAGCAGACCUGACAUGACCCGAUUCAUCAGUUGAUCAAAAGUUAUAUAGAGGUAUGAUUAGUUCACUUUUAUAUCUUACUGCCAGCAGACUUGACAUUGUUUUCAGUGUAGGACUUUGUGCUCGUUUUUAGGAAAAUCCAAAAGAGUCACAUGUGACAGUUGUCAAAAGAAUAUUGAGAUACUUGAAAGGCACAACUGAUCUGUGUCUGUGGUAUCCCAAAGGUAGUAAUUUUGACUUAAUAAGAUAUGUUGUUGCUAACUAUGCAGGUUUUCUAGUGGAUAGAAAGAGCACUUCAGGUAUGGCACACUUCCUAGGGUCUUGUCUUGUAUCUUGGGCUACCAAAAAGCAAAAUUCUAUGUCUCUCUCUACUACUGAAGCUGAAUAUGUUGCUGCUGCUUCAUGUUGUGCUCAAUUACUGUGGAUUAAGCAACAACUGGUAGACUUUGGAAUUGAAGUGGGGUGCAUAGCUGAAUAUGUUGCUGCUGCUUCAUGUUGUGCUCAAUUACUGUGGAUUAAGCAACAACUGGUAGAAUUUGUAUUUGAAGUAGGGUGCAUACCAAUAUUUUGUAUAACACUAGUGCAAUUAGUAAGACAAAGAACCAUGUUCAUCACAAAAGGACUGAGCACAUAGAUGUUAGACACCACUUAUUAAGAGACAACUAUGAGAAAAGGGCCAAUCUCCAUAGAAUUGUGUACUACUAAUGAACAAAUAGCUGGCAUAUUCACUAAGGCAUUGAGUAGAGAAAAUUUUUAAAGGAACAGGUUGAAGUUAGGGAUGAUUAAGAUCACCUAAAAGGUCCAGUUCAAAAUGCACAAUGAAAAAAAGUUUUUUUUGGCUAGGAGUUCUUAAUUUUUGUGAAUAUUAGAUUAAAUCUUACUCAGUCUCAUACUGUAAAUAGUAUACUCUUGUGACAUGUGUCUAUGCGAUUCACUAAUCUCUUAUAAAUUUUCUAUUUUGACUUUUGAGACAUAAUCCAGAGAAGUUUCACUUGAAGAACCUGGUUCAUCAAAUUAUGCUCAUGAGAAAGUUCAGGUAUGUUUCUAUUAUUUGCACAAUUAGAAAAAUUUAAUUAUCAAUCGUGAGCAAGAUUCCUAGAUAUACCAAACGUCCUAGCUAUUCUAUCCGUUAGGCAAAUUGAACCAGUUUCAUUGAAACUAGAAGUCUAAGUAUAAUAGAACCUUCUCCUAAAUUUUAGCAAUUCUAAUUAAUCUCUAAGAAGAUCGAAACUCUAAAUUGAUUUGACCUCUAUGUCACCUGUAAAAAAGCUGCCUUUUCUGAGUAAUCAUUACCCUCUUUAAAAACCCCAAUACACUCAAUAACCGUCAAUUCUUCACAAACCCCUAAUCAUCCUCUGUCGUCUCUGAAACUCUCCAAAGUUCUUCACACAACCAAAAAUCCCUUAACGGAUUCAGAAAAUCUUUACCAUGACAAAUCCCCAAGACUAUCCUGGCACUCUACCACCAGUCGAAACCCCAAAACCUAGAUUCCGUCACCAGAAAAUGCUAGAAAGAAAAACUGUAGCUACUGGUUCUCUGAGGAAAGAUUUGAAUGAAAAACUUCUGUUCAGUCAAAAGAAAGCAGUCCCAGCAACCGAGACCAACUCUAGCUCUGAAUCUGAUUAUUACAUCUCCGCUAGUGAAGGACACAAACCUGAGUGUUUUGAAAAUGCCAAAACUAAAGAAACCCAAAGAGAGGUAAAGUCUUUUGCUUUUUCUGAUGUAUUUCAGAGGGAGGAAAAUCGAUCUGUGAUAGGGGCUGCUAGAGAUGUAGUUAGGAUUGACUCUGGGAAAAUGAGUAAGAAAAAGAAGAAUGAGCCUUUAGCCAUAUAUGGAAGUGGGGAAGAGGGAGUCUCGAAGUAAGUGGGAAGUGGAUCAGGUGAGGCUGCUGAGGGGUUGGUUAAUCUGAGCAAGCAACAAGAUGAACCUGGUUCAUAUGGGGAAGAGAACUUGGCUGAUUUGUUGAAGAAAGUGGGGGCUAGCUAUGACCCAAAGAAACGCAAGGCUUUCUGUCAUACCUCCUUUUUUGCUUACACCCCCGCAAAGGGAGCAUAAAAGAGUUUUUCCAUUUAAAGGACAAUCGGAACAAGAUUUGGUUAUUAAUUAUUCAGAGUCGCCACUUGGGAGAUUUAUGGUGUCCCAAGUCACCGAAUUGAAUCCCGAACCGAGUAAAAAUAUGACUUUGUUACAGUCUGCAAACCAGAAAUCCGAGUAAGGAAUUUAGUUAACCCGGGAGAAGUUUUUAGGCAUUCCCGGGUUCCAUGGUUCUAGAACGCUCGCUUAAUUGUUGCAUUUGAUUUUAUCUGAUUUUAAUACAUGCUAGCUUAUGUUCCUUUUAUUUAUAAACCUCUUUUACCAUUAUUUAUAUUAAAACACUUGCGACGUCGUGAAAGCGUAUUUCUAAUCACGUCACCACCAGUGUACACGUGAUCGUCGACACGUUUCGACUUCGUCGUGAUUUGGAUUUGGGUCACAUCAAAGCACACUCGAGUUUAAGAAGGUAAUUUAAUAAAAUCAAUGCACACUAUAGUUUCUAUUCCAUGUUCUGAGCUCAAACUUACAGCAGGAGUACGAAUAUGUACUUGGACAAACAAGAAACAAGGGAGAAAAUGAAGAUCAGCAGCUACAGGUGAAACAAUCGUUUCAAACAAUCAACAUAACACAGCAAUAAGAACUCAGCAGCCUCUGGAUGUGAAAAUUGGUCCAGGAAGUUUUUUAAAACCCAGUAGAUAACCCAGAUGCACCCAAAGAACUAGAAACCAGCAGAAAAUGCUCCAAACCAAUACGCAAACAAAUUCCAAACCAAGCCACAAGCAGAAAGCUAAAGAGAAAACCUCACAAUUGCUUGAAAAACCAAUAAAACAGUAAUUUUUUGUUAUUUUCUUCUUAGUAUAUACCUUUUUUUGUAUUUUAUUAUUUAAAUGUUAUAACUAAACUGAAAUUGAAAAAUGGAAUUAAAAUCUGAUUUGAUCUUAGCGAGUUUUUUGAGCGUAAAAAUUGUCCACCCUUUUACAAGGCAUUGAAUGCCUUUAUAUAGAAGUAAGGUAGGGCAGCAGUCAGAUUUUUCUUUUCUUCUCAGUCUUUGCUACUUUUAUUAAAUUAGCCCUCUAAUUCUCAGCUUGUUACUCAAGUAAAUACCCUAAAUCUAUUGAAAACUACACAUUAGUCCUUUUCUAGAAGCCUCUAGGGAACCCUUUGAGCAAGAUAAUCCUUAAACUACCCUUCAUCUCAAAAUAUCUGCACCCUCACAUGUCAUUCCAGCCUUACCCUUUAGAAGCUUCCCUAUAACAGAAAAUAUUCCACCCCUCAAAUCACCAAAACACCCAUGAAUAGCCUUGAAAUUACUAACCAAACCAUUACCCCAGUUAAAAAAUAACCCUCCAAUUUAAACCCAAGUAGAGAUGGGCCAGGCUUGACCUAACCCUUAUCGAGAGAAGCCCCAAAUCCCAAACCAUAUAAAAAUUCAACUGAUAAAAUGAGAAACAAAAUAGGUUAAUUAGUUGACUUCUUUUCAACACUUCGUCUGGACUCAAAUGACUAAAUUCCUUUUAACUAAAUAUGAGCGGCCAAUUUGAAUUAACCCAAGCUAGUUAUACGACUGGAAAGUAAGUCAUAACCUAACGGGCAAGAUGCACGAACAGAAACUUACGACAAUUUCUACAAAGAAACUGUAAAGCUCGCGGAAUAAAUACCACUACCAUACGAACAGGGAAAACCUAUAUUCAGUGUUUUAAAUCCCACCAAAUUUGACUAAGAAAUAAAUCUAAAGGGAACCAGAAGAGAGAAGCGAGGGUCAUAUAAACAAAAAAGAUGAACAAAACAGACGAAUGAGACAUGGGAAAGGUAAAAAUACCUAGGUAGCUGCACGAAUAGAGGUUGAUACUUCAGGAGACUUCAAUUCGACGUGAAAUAAGUAUUAACUGCAUGUUCUUUUAAGAACAAACAAACAAUACCCGUUUCAAGCCUAAUCGCUUACAAUAACUUGCAAACUUCGACGAUCUACUUCCUUCGAUUGAAACUUGAACCUUGUCUGGUUUGGCCAAGAUUCAGGGAGAACAAAAUUGGAAUAUGGCUCAGGGAGGGGUCACAGUUGCAUGGUUGAAUUUUGUGGUGAUUUGAGCUUCACUGGCGGGCUAGGGUUGCAGGUUUUAGGUGAGAUGAGGAAGAAGAACAGACAAGGGGGGUUGUUU
rnacentral:lncRNA from 1 species